ensembl:lncRNA
CCUCACAGCACCAGACUGUUGUCUGUGAAGCCUAGUAACCUCCCAGCACCAGACUGUUGUCUGUGAAGCCUAGUAACCUCCCAGCCCCAGACUGUUGUCUGUGAAGCCUAGUAACCUCAGAGCACCAGACUGUUGUCUGUGAAGCCUAGUAACCUCACAGCACCAGACUGUUGUCUGUGAAGCCUAGUAACCUCCCAGCACCAGACUGUUGUCUGUGAAGCCUAGUAACCUCACAGCACCAGACUGUUGUCUGUGAAGCCUAGUAACCUCCCAGCACCAGACUACCCACAGACAGAACUGGGCAUCAUAGCAUCAGAAGAGGAAGACCUGACAUUUUCAGCCACUAACACAGAAGGACCAUUGUUACACUUUCCUUUUUUUAAUCCAUGUUAGUUGUUGUGGCAGAGAAUCACUCAGGACCACAAAGGUUCUGAGCUGCCCCUCCCUGUGCCUGAGUAGAAAGGGCCCCCUGUCUGUCUCAGCUGUAAUACCAGUCCAGGGGAGGGUACUAGGUAGAAAGGGCCCCCUGUCUGUCUCGGCUGUAAUACCAGUCCAGGGGAGGGUACUAGGUAGAAAGGGCCCCCUGUCUGUCUCAGCUGUAAUACCAGUCCAGGGGAGGGUACUAGGUAGAAAGGGGCCCCUGUCUGUCUCAGCUGUAAUACCAGUCCAGGGGAGGGUACUAGGUAGAAAGGGCCCCCUGUCUGUCUCAGCUGUAAUACCAGUCCAGGGGAGGGUACUAGGUAGAAAGGGCCCCCUGUCUGUCUCAGCUGUAAUACCAGUCCAGGGGAGGGUACUAGGUAGAAAGGGCCCCCUGUCUGUCUCAGCUGUAAUACCAGUCCAGGGGAGGGCACUAGGUAGAAAGGGCCCCCUGUCUGUCUCAGUUAUAAUACCAGUCCAGGGGAGGGUACUAGGUAGAAAGGGCCCCCUGUCUGUCUCAGUUAUAAUACCAGUCCAGGGGAGGGUACUAGGUAGUUACAGACAGACAAGUUGUAAGUUGUGUAGUCCAGGACAGGUCAGUUACAGACAGACAGGUUGUGUAGUCUAGGACAGGUCAGUUCCACUAGGAGAUAGAUGGUUAUAGACAGACAGGUUGUGUAGUCUAGGACAGGUCAGUUACACUAGGAGAUAGAUGGUUACAGACAGACAGGCUGUGUAGUCUAGGACAGGUCAGUUCCACUAGGAGAUAGGUGGUUACAGACAGACAGGUUGUGUAGUCUAGGACAGGUCAGUUACAGACAGACAUGUUGUGUAGUCUAGGACAGGUCAGUUCCACUAGGAGAUAGAUGGUUACAGACAGACAGGUCAGUUCCACUAGGAGAUAGAUGGUUACAGACAGACAGGUCAGUUCCACUAGGAGAUAGAUGGUUACAGACAGACAGGUCAGUUCCACUAGGAGAUAGAUGGUGACAGACAGACAGGUCAGUUCCACUAGGAGAUAGAUGGUGACAGACAGGUUGUGUAGUCUAGGACAGGUCAGUUACAGACAGACAGGUUGUGUAGUCUAGGACAGGUCAGUUCCACUAGGAGAUAGAUGGUGACAGACAGACAGGUUGUGUAGUCUAGGACAGGUCAGUUACAGACAGACAGGUUGUGUAGUCUAGGACAGGUCAGUUCCACUAGGAGAUAGAUGGUUACAGACAGACAGGUCAGUUCCACUAGGAGAUAGAUGGUGACAGACAGACAGGUCAAUUCCACUAGGAGAUAGAUGGUUACAGACAGACAGGUCAGUUCCACUAGGAGAUAGAUGGUGACAGACAGACAGGUCAGUUCCACUAGGAGAUAGAUGGUUACAGACAGACAGGUCAGUUCCACUAGGAGAUAGAUGGUUACAGACAGACAGUGUAGUAGCAAUAUAAAGAUGAUUAUAAAAUGUGAGAUUAAAGACCUGACGUUCAUACUAAUAUUCAGCCAGUUAACCACAGUCCUGGAGUCAGAUGUUAACUCCUGUCUCUAAAUAGUGGAGGUUAGGGCCCCGUUAACCACAGUCCUGGAGUCAGAUGUUAACUCCUGUCUCUAAAUAGUGGAGGUUAGGGCCCCGUUAACCACAGUCCUGGAGUCAGAGGUUAACUAAAGGACUCCAGCCGGGGGG